rnacentral:rRNA from 1 species
AUUGAACGCUGGCGGCAUGCUUUACACAUGCAAGUCGAACGGCAGCACGGGCUUCGGCCUGGUGGCGAGUGGCGAACGGGUGAGUAAUGCAUCGGAACGUACCGUGUAAUGGGGGAUAACGUAGCGAAAGUUACGCUAAUACCGCAUACGCCCUGAGGGGGAAAGCGGGGGAUCGUAAGACCUCGCGUUAUACGAGCGGCCGAUGUCGGAUUAGCUAGUUGGUGGGGUAAAGGCCUACCAAGGCGACGAUCCGUAGCGGGUCUGAGAGGAUGAUCCGCCACACUGGGACUGAGACACGGCCCAGACUCCUACGGGAGGCAGCAGUGGGGAAUUUUGGACAAUGGGCGCAAGCCUGAUCCAGCCAUGCCGCGUGAGUGAAGAAGGCCU